CCGUGUGUAGCUCAAUGGUAGAGCAGCUCCCUCUUAAGGAGACGGUUGUAGGUUCGAGCCCUACCACGCGGACAA
rnacentral:tRNA from 1 species